AGGAGAGUAAAAUAUGUCAUCUAAAUACUUUGACAAGCAUUAAAAUGAAAAAAUUCAGAAUAAUUAGAUGAAUUGAAUGCCCCAUUUAUCAAAUUUAUUUAUUUAUCAUCUGUUCUGCAUAUGUGAGUAUAAUUUCAUGUCUCAGUUAAAAAUUAGUAAUUAAUGUUGGAUCCGUAAUAGGAUUUGUUUCUAUGCUUGCUGGAUUUAUAAGUUCUGCUCAUGGAAGCAUGAAGCAUGGGCGUUUUAUCAAAACCUAUUUUACUUCUGCACAAAAACUAGAAAUGUUUUCCAGCUUUUCUGCAGCUCUAAAUCAAUUGCUAAAAAAGCGAAGAGUUUAAAAUUCUUCACAAUUAGUUUUGUAUAGUAAAAAUUCAUUUUCAAAAGAAAUGAAUUUUAUAAUUAAUUUGGCUUCCAAACACAAAAUCAAUGUCCAAACCAGGCAGUGAAUUUGCACACAUUUCAACAUUUAAUGCAUCUGAUAGCUUUGCAAGUUUAACAGUGGAAGGUGAGAAUGUAGUUUCAGAUUAAUUUGUCACAGAAUCAAACUGCUACCUGAAUACAUAGACCAAAGUAUUGUCGCCACCAAGAAGAAGAAUACAUUUUAUACCAUGAAUUAUGUCCUAAGAUUCUUGAUACCAAAUAAAAUUAUAAGCAUAAAAUGAGAUAAACAAAAGUUCUUUUUUAAUCGCCAAUCCAAAUUUAUCUAUCCUGUUAAGAUUACCUUGAAGCCUUUCUACUUAUCAGCUCACUCGAUCUCUUGAUAGAUUCUAUUCUUUGAAGCCUGAUUUGCUCUCUGAAUUUGGCUAUGAACUCAUCAGCUUUCUUGUCAACAUCAGGUCCUCCAUCACUUGCAGCAGUACAAGCAACUUCUUCGUUGUUUGAAAUUGCUGCUGCAGUGCCUGAAACAAAACAACUUCCUGCAAUGUCAUCGUCAUCUUCGUCCUCAGUCUCCAGGUCCUCAUCUGAUUCCAGCAUUAAUUUUUCCACCAAUUCUUCUUUCUCUUCCUUUGGAAACUCCCUGUAAAUUGGUUGAGGCAUAAAAGUGACUGUGUCUCGAUCUAGCCUCUCCGUCUUGAAUGAUGAUUGAUCAAACGCUGCUUUCUUUCUUCCUCCUCUCUCCACUGUACUUGGUUCAGCUUCCUUGAAUCUUUUCUCCGCCUUGGUGUUGAUCAUAUCAUCAAAUUCUUUCCCAAAAAGGGAAUCACUGUUUCUUGUUGUCCUCACUGAUGUUGGAAUUGAUAAGCCACCACCUCUAUUCAAUUCUUUUGGCUCGCUUGUAUAACUUCGCCUCAAAUCAUUAAUGGCACUGGAACUCGGUUUCAUUGACUGUGAUUUUCGAAUCACUUGCGAUGGUGGUGGUGGUGGUGGAGGAGGGGGUGGAGGAGACCUGUAGAAGCUCUUCUUCCUGACAAAAUCCUCUGGACUUUUGCUUUGUGCCUCGGCUGGGAAAGAAGGUGAAGGUGAAAGCUUCUUUGGUGAAGACAUUGACGGUGAAGAAUUUGUUGAAUCGAUUCGUGGUGAUCGAGACACUUGGGCCCUGAAAGGCCUGUUGAAUUCAGACUCCUCCAUGGAUGGUGGCAGAGUAUACGGAGGAGGAGUAUCGGCUUCUUCUUUUGUUUGCUUCAUUUCCAUUCUUCCAGAUCUUGAUCUCCAUGGAAUUGGACAAGGAAGCACCACAUUAUCCUUCAGCUUCUCCUCCAAAUCUUGAUGACGCAAUCCGCCAAAUUCCUCAUUUCUGCUUUUAACUGAAUUGCUCGAAAUUCUUUUAGAACCCAAAUUAGAACUAGAACUACUAAUAGAAGCAUAAACAGCAGAGGAAGAUUCUUUAGUAGUUUCAUUACCAUCUGCUUCUAAAAUACGCGAUUUUAAGCUCCGAACAGGCAACUGAAGUGGUUUGUCACCUAUUAUUGAAGUGGUAUCUUUCUGUUCUUGAUCGAUAACAGAAUUUUCGUCAGCUACAACCACCACAGGGUCAUUGCUGUAGUACUGACUAUUCCAUGUUUGGACGGUGCUCUCAUCAGACCUGGAAGGCUUAUCAGCUUCAUCAUCGAAAACUGAAGAAACCUGAAGGAAUCUAGAGACAUAGGAUUGAGCAUUAUCAAAUUUUGAGAGGCAACUAUCUUUUUCUGCUUCAUCAUUUCUUCGGCUAAACAGGCCAUAAGAAACAGCUAUACCAACAAAAAUAAGGUGGAGAAACUCCCAGCCUCUUGUGUUCAGUGUAUGGUUGAUGAAUUCAGGAGCUUGUGAAGGGAAAAGUGGCAGUAUGACUAAGAAUAUGGUCACUAUAAGAGCUUUGCAGAGGAAAUGAGAGUAAAACUUAGUUGGGAUAGUUGCUUGGUUUUGCUGUUGAUAUUUGGUGUAGGAGUUUGUAUCUUCCAUUGAAGAGGAAAGAGAGGAUCUGUUGGUGAUUAUUUUUGGGUUUUAAAGAAUAAGAAGAAGAAGAAGCAGAGAAGACUUAAGGGUUAAGGAAAAGUAGAGAGAAGAAAGAGAAAAGCAAAGGAGAGAAAAGUUUUGGGGAGAUGAGAACAAAUUUCAAGCUCUGCAUGGGUACGCUUUUAACUCUUGUUUGCAGAUGACACCAUUGGAGGGUUCUUUAUUCUCUCCCUAAAUCUAAAUCUGAUUCUUAAAUUCUAUUUAGUGGACAGAAUUUUUUUGACUCACUGUGUGCCUUGCGUUCUUUAACUCUUUCCCUUUUUCUUGUUUGGAAAGUGGUUUGGGAUUGAUGGAGAGGUGCAAUGGUGACCGUUCUUAGACCCCUUUAGGCUGCCCUAGUUUAGUUUUGACACCUUCCAUUAAGAACUGGAAAAGUAGCUAAACCAGAAUAUUUUUAUGCAUUUAUAUUUAAGUAAAGUUAUGGAUUUUCAAAU
rnacentral:misc_RNA from 1 species